GACGUAGGGCGCGAGCGUUGUCCGGAUUUAUUGGGCGUAAAGAGCUCGUAGGCGGCUUGUCGCGUCGACCGUGAAAACUUGGGGCUCAACCCCAAGCCUGCGGUCGAUACGGGCAGGCUCGAGUUCGGUAGGGGAGACUGGAAUUCCUGGUGUAGCGGUGAAAUGCGCAGAUAUCAGGAGGAACACCGAUGGCAAAGGCAGGUCUCUGGGCCGAUACUGACGCUGAGGAGCGAAAGCGUGGGGAGCGAACAGG
rnacentral:rRNA from 1 species